UAGCUCAGUUGUUAGAGCAUGGCGCUUGCAACGCCAGGGUUGUGGGUUUUCGAUUCCAAC
rnacentral:tRNA from 1 species